rnacentral:rRNA from 1 species
GAUGAACGCUGGCGGCGUGCCUAAUACAUGCAAGUCGAGCGAACAGACGAGGAGCUUGCUCCUCUGACGUUAGCGGCGGACGGGUGAGUAACACGUGGAUAACCUACCUAUAAGACUGGGAUAACUUCGGGAAACCGGAGCUAAUACCGGAUAAUAUAUUGAACCGCAUGGUUCAAUAGUGAAAGACGGUUUUGCUGUCACUUAUAGAUGGAUCCGCGCCGCAUUAGCUAGUUGGUAAGGUAACGGCUUACCAAGGCAACGAUGCGUAGCCGACCUGAGAGGGUGAUCGGCCACACUGGAACUGAGACACGGUCCAGACUCCUACGGGAGGCAGCAGUAGGGAAUCUUCCGCAAUGGGCGAAAGCUUGACGGAGCAACGCCGCGUGAGUGAUGAAGGUCUGCGGAUCGUAAAACUCUGUUAUUAGGGAAGAACAAAUGUGUAAGUAACGAUGCACGUCUUGACGGUACCUAAUCAGAAAACCACGGCUAACUACGU